UAACGAUUCCAGUGAGAUAUGUUUGAUAUUCUUGGUUGUUACAUUCAAAAGUUCACCCAGGAAUCAAACAUAUUAUUACUGUGAUCGCU
rnacentral:pre_miRNA from 15 species